GCCUGACUAGCUCAGUUGGUAGAGCGUGAGACUCUUAAUCUCAGGGUUGUGGGUUCAAGCCCCAUAUUAGGUG